rnacentral:rRNA from 3 species
GGUGAAAGGCUUGCUGCCUGAAGAAGAGCUUGCGUCUGAUUAGCUAGUUGGUGGGGUAAGAGCCUACCAAGGCGACGAUCAGUAGCUGGUCUGAGAGGAUGAUCAGCCACACUGGGACUGAGACACGGCCCAGACUCCUACGGGAGGCAGCAGUGGGGAAUUUUCCGCAAUGGGCGAAAGCCUGACGGAGCAAUACCGCGUGAGGGAGGAAGGCUCUUGGGUUGUAAACCUCUUUUCUCAGGGAAGAACAAAAUGACGGUACCUGAGGAAUAAGCAUCGGCUAACUCCGUGCCAGCAGCCGCGGUAAUACGGAGGAUGCAAGCGUUAUCCGGAAUGAUUGGGCGUAAAGGGUCCGCAGGUGGCAUUGUAAGUCUGCUGUUAAAGAGUUUGGCUCAACCAAAUAAAAGCAGUGGAAACUACAAAGCUAGAGUGUGGUCGGGGCAGAGGGAAUUCCUGGUGUAGCGGUGAAAUGCGUAGAUAUCAGGAAGAACACCGGUGG